UACAGAGGGGGCAAGCGUUGUUCGGAAUUACUGAGCGUAAAGGGCGCGUAGGCGGCCUUCUAAGUCGAACGUGAAAUCCCCGGGCUCAACCCGGGAACUGCGUCCGAUACUGGAAGGCUUGAAUCCGGGAGAGGGAUGCGGAAUUCCAGGUGUAGCGGUGAAAUGCGUAGAUAUCUGGAGGAACACCGGUGGCGAAGGCGGCAUCCUGGACCGGUAUUGACGCUGAGGCGCGAAAGCCAGGGGAGCAAAGCGGG
rnacentral:rRNA from 1 species